AUCAAGCAGGCGCGGUGAACGGAUUAUGACGCUCAAGCGUUCCAAAUGACGCAACAAUACAGCUCCAGACCAGAGAAAGUUAAUGCCGAAGAAAUCAUUCGGUUCAACACUAAAACUGAGGUUUGACACGUGUGAUUUGAGGCUAGAGCUUGAGGACUCAACUCUGAAGACUGUUUCUGAAUUCACUGACCUGAAAUAAAACUUGUAGACCUUUCCUGCAGUCUCUGAGGAGAUGGACACCUCUUCUUCUUCUGGACGAUCUCCGUCUCCUACUGGGACUGUCUUCUUACCCCCUCCUAUCAUGUGGAACAGUCUCUACAAGCAGGCAGAGAUGGAGGUUCACUUCCCGAGUGAAGAGAAGAAGACCUAUACAGAGAAGGAAGCCCACAUGCUUGAGUUGAGGGGGAAGGAUCGAACGAUCCGAAAUCAGAAGAAGGAGAUGGACAGACUUCAAGUCUGCCUCUGGGAGGAGGAAAAGAAGAAGAGGAAUGGUGGAACGGAGAAGGACAAGAUCAUUGAACAAUUACAGUCUGAGACAGACCAUCUCCGAGCCCUUUUAAAAGAUGAAAGGAGGAGAAGAAGAGUAGAAAGGGGUAUCAUGGAAGAGUGGAAGGCUGAGAUCUUGAGACUGAGGGAGGCAGAGUGCCAGAGGGAGUCAGAGAG